GUACUUUGUAAUUUUUGUUUUUGCUUACUAUUUAUUUAUUUUUGUUUCAAUCCAUUUUUUUCAGUUUCAAUUUGCUGGCACUGUUUUGGUGUCUGGGGGCUCGCUUGAGGGGCGGGGAUUCUGACCCGCAUGUAUGGUAUACAUCAUAUCACCACUAGUGCUUGUCUCUUUCAAUGACUGCUUCAAUUUCAGGUGGAGCCUCUAAACCGCUGGAGUUGGAGGCUAGUGUUGUAGCAGCAACACAAGAUCACAUCAACAGGUUAGCACAAAGUGUUCAGCAUAUCUCAUACCGCAGUGCAGCAAAAGCAGUCUCAUGAGCGCUGGGAAGGACAAGCCCAGACCCCAAAACAGACCGUGCAGGAGAUGGCUAGGUUAGUAAUUGCAUGGGAAAAUUAUACUUUUAAUUAUUUUGAUUGAUAAAAGUAAAAAAUUUUUUUUUUAAAAAUCUGCAUUUUAAAAAGUUAUCUAUGCUUCUCACAUAUAGGUCAUUUCCAGGAUUUUUUUUACCCAAAAAGUGUGUGUGUGUGUGUGUAAUGUAGACACUAAAGCUGUCGCGCCAGAAUGUCACAGGAGGAUGGUUCUUUAGAUACAGCGAGUGAGUCAGAUACCAAGGACACAAAGAUGAAGCAGGUCUGAUCAGCAACAGUUUAUUCCCCGAGGCGGACAGUAGAAAUAAAACAACCCAAAUACUAAGAAAAAAAGUGUAAAAUAUUCUUCAUAUGCUAAAAUUCCCACAGAGACUAGAGAAAACAAUUCUAAAACCCGUAAAAAUACAAUUUUCACUAAAAUCCCCUGAUGUAAUUUUCCACAACCCCAGAUGAAUGUUCAUUAUGGGUCCACCAGUAGGCCAGAAAUUUUUUCUCCAGAGCGGGGUCCACGCCAGCCUCGUCCCAGACAGACGAGGAGGAGCCUCCUGUCCCCCUCUCGUUCCUUAACUGGCCCAUCACAUCCCAGCCCAGUUUGCAUUCUGCAAACAAAUAGAGGCCAGAACAAUUGUCCCGGAAGCGGCCCUGGGUUAUAGCCAUGGCGACCCUCUCCCAAUAUGGCUGCACCAGGUGAACAACAGUAGAGACACUACUCACAAAUGCAGGCAGAGGUAUACCUCCGCCUGCUGCCAAUCACACGCGUUGUCUCCUACUGUCGCUGUUCCUGCUGCCGGGACUGGGUCGCCACGCCACGCUGACCAGUUCGUCUUUUUCACCUGGCCUUCUUGUGUUCCCCUUCAUGUCUGGAGCCUCUCUCUUACAGUGCUCAGCUAGCUUGCUUUUAAUAGGUCUUUAAACAGCUGAAAGGCCACCUCUGGAUACACAUAUACCUCAGCAGGUGAUCCCUAUCAGCUAACUGUCCCAUGCCCAGCCAAUCCACAGUGGAUUAAAACAAUGUCAAAUAAAAGACUAAAAAUCAUGCAAUACAAUCAUUAGAAUAAAACCAUGCAAUAAAAACUACACUUGCAAAUAAACACUAAAAUCAAAAUAAAACCAACAUAAAAGAUAAAUACCAAGUUCCACUGUGUGACAUCUGUGUGUGCUUCAAAGCAAUUACUGUUAAAAGAUGUGUAGUUUGUUCUUUUCAUUUUUCAGAACUCCACCAUAGGCCCGCCUCAGAAGAUGGAUAAACCCAGCAUUUCAUGAACACUGUGAUGGAGACCUUUGUGUAAUGUUAGAAGUGCUCAGAUAAUCCUAGGAGGCUCUAGACUUUUACCUAAAGACAUUAUAUUCAGUCCUGAAUAAAGUUAAAUAUUUAUAUAUAUUAUAUAUUAUUAUAUUGAAUGACUCCGAAUAACUUUAUGAUAAAAAAACACACUAUUGGCAAAAAACAGUGAAAGAAUUCCAGAUCAGAAGUUUUUAGUUCAACAUACAAGUGACAACCUUUGACCUUCAUCAGGUUUUAUUUAAUUGUGUCUGAGAAAACAUCUGACUACAUUCAGUGUUUAAAACAGAAGUUGUGCAAGGCUGAGAUCAGCACCUUUCUGAAACACCAAACUGAGGUACUGUUAAUCUUGAUAUAUGGUGACACAGUUACAUGGGUGAUUAACCCUUUUGACUUUUUGUCUUUAACUUUAUCUACAAACAGCUGCAGCUGCACCGUUGUACUCUUUUGA